AUUGAACGCUGGCGGCAGGCUUAACACAUGCAAGUCGAACGAAGUGGCGAACGGGUGAGUAACACGUGGGCAACCUGCCCUCCUCUUGGGGAUAGCCUCGGGAAACCGGGAUAAUACCCGAUAGAGAAGGAUGGCCCGCGGCCUGUUAGCUUGUUGGUGGGGUAGAGGCCUACCAAGGCAAUGAUGGGUAGCUGGGUUGAGAGACCGACCAGCCAGAUUGGGACUGAGACACGGCCCAGACUCCUACGGGAGGCAGCAGGGGGGAAUCUUGCGCAAUGGGCGAAAGCCUGAUGCAGCGACGCCGCGUGCGGGACGAAGGCCUUCGGGUUGUAAACCGCUUUCAGCAGGGACGCGGUACCUGCAGAAGAAGCCCCGGCUAACUACGUGCCAGCAGCCGCGGUAAUAC
rnacentral:rRNA from 1 species